AGAGUUUGAUCAUGGCUCAGAUUGAACGCUGGUGGCAUGCUUAACACAUGCAAGUCGAACGGUAACAGGCAGAAGCUUGCUUUUGUGCUGACGAGUGGCGGACGGGUGAGUAACGCGUAGGAAUCUGCCCUUAGAUGGGGGACAACUCGAGGAAACUCGAGCUAAUACCGCAUAAUACUUUCGGGUUAAAGGUGGCACUUAGGUGCUGUCGUCUAGGGAUGAGCCUGCGUCUGAUUAGCUAGUUGGUAGGGUAAAAGCCUACCAAGGCGACGAUCGGUAGCUGUUCUGAGAGGAAGAUCAGCCACACUGGGACUGAGACACGGCCCAGACUCCUACGGGAGGCAGCAGUGGGGAAUAUUGGACAAUGGGGGCAACCCUGAUCCAGCAAUGCCACGUGUGUGAAGAAGGCCUGAGGGUUGUAAAGCACUUUCGGCGGGGAGGAAAGGAUGAUGAUUAAUAGUUGUUAUCUGUGACGUUACCCGCAUAAGAAGCACCGGCUAACUCUGUGCCAGCAGCCGCGGUAAUACAGAGGGUGCAAGCGUUAAUCGGAAUUACUGGGCGUAAAGCGCACGUAGGCGGCUAAUUAAGCCAGAUGUGAAAGCCCCGGGCUCAACCUGGGAACUGCAUUUGGAACUGAUUAGCUAGAGUGUAGUAGAGGGAAGUGGAAUUUCCGGUGUAGCGGUGAAAUGCGUAGAUAUCGGAAGGAACAUCAGUGGCGAAGGCGGCUUCCUGGACUAACACUGACGCUGAGGAGCGAAAGCGUGGGUAGCGAACAGGAUUAGAUACCCUGGUAGUCCACGCUGUAAACGAUGAGUACUAGCUGUUGGUAUUUUAAAGAAUAUUAGUAGCGCAGCUAACGCGUUAAGUACUCCGCCUGGGGACUACGGUCGCAAGACUAAAACUCAAAGGAAUUGACGGGGGCCCGCACAAGCGGUGGAGCAUGUGGUUUAAUUCGAUGCAACGCGAAGAACCUUACCUACUCUUGACAUCCUAAGAAAGCCGAAGAGAUUUGGCUGUGCCGAAAGGAACUUAGAGACAGGUGCUGCAUGGCUGUCGUCAGCUCGUGUUGUGAGAUGUUGGGUUAAGUCCCGUAACGAGCGCAACCCUUAUCCUUAGUUGCCAGCGCGUCAUGGCGGGGACUCUAAGGAGACUGCCGGUGUUAAACCGGAGGAAGGCGGGGACGACGUCAAGUCAUCAUGGCCCUUACGAGUAGGGCUACACACGUGCUACAAUGGUUGGUACAGAGGGAAUCGAAGUCGCGAGGCCAAGGUAAACUCAGAAAGCCAAUCGUAGUCCGGAUUGGAGUCUGCAACUCGACUCCAUGAAGUUGGAAUCGCUAGUAAUCGCGAAUCAGAAUGUCGCGGUGAAUACGUUCUCGGGCCUUGUACACACCGCCCGUCACACCAUGGGAGUGGUUUGCACCAGAAGUAGCUAGGCUAACCGUAAGGGGGCCGGUUACCACGGUGUGGAUCAUGACUGGGGUGAAGUCGUAACAAGGUA
rnacentral:rRNA from 1 species